AGGAUGAACGCUGGCGGCGUGCCUAAAACAUGCAAGUCAUACGGUCUACCUUCGGGUAGACAGUGGCAAACGGGUGAGUAACACGUGGGAACACGCCUUCGAGUGGGGAAUAACGCUGAGAAAUCAGUGCUAAUACCGCAUAUGGUCUAACGACUAAAGCAGUAAUGCGCUCGGAGAGUGGCCCGCGUCCGAUUAGCUAGUUGGUGGGGUAAUGGCCUACCAAGGCGGUGAUCGGUAGCUGGUCUGAGAGGAUGGUCAGCCACACUGGGACUGCGAACGGCCCAGACUCCUACGGGAGGCAGCAGUUAGGAAUUUUCGGCAAUGGACGAAAGUCUGACCGAGCGACGCCGCGUGGAGACGAAGCCUUUCGGGGUGUAAACUCCUUUUCUGCGGGAAGAUAAUGACGGUACCGCAGGAAUAAGCACCGGCUAACUACGUGCCAGCAGCCGC
rnacentral:rRNA from 1 species